GCUGGGCAUGGUGGCAUGUGCCUGUAGUCCCAGCUACUCAGGAGGCUGAGACAGGAGAAUUGCUUGAACCCAGGAGGCGGAGGUUGCAGUGAGCUGAGAUUAUGCCACUGCACUCCAGCCUGGGUGACAGAGCGAGACUCUGUCUCAA
rnacentral:SRP_RNA from 1 species